rnacentral:tRNA from 1 species
GUAGAUAUAGUUCAACAAGAAUAUUAGAUUGUGAUUCUAAAGAUAGAGGUUAAAAUCCACUUGUCCACC